rnacentral:rRNA from 1 species
UUGACGGGGCCCGCACAAGCGGUGGAGCAUGUGGUUUAAUUCGAUGCAACGCGAAGAACCUUACCAGCCCUUGACAUCCUCGGAAUCCUGCAGAGAUGCGGGAGUGCCUUCGGGAGCCGAGAGACAGGUGCUGCAUGGCUGUCGUCAGCUCGUGUCGUGAGAUGUUGGGUUAAGUCCCGUAACGAGCGCAACCCUUGCCCUUAGUUGCCAGCGCGUCAAGGCGGGAACUCUAAGGGGACUGCCGGUGAUAAACCGGAGGAAGGUGGAGAUGACGUCAAGUCAUCAUGGCCCUUAUGGGCUGGGCUACACACGUGCUACAAUGGCCGGUACAGAGGGUUGCCAACCCGCGAGGGGGAGCCAAUCUCAGAAAACCGGUCGUAGUCCGGAUCGCAGUCUGCAACUCGACUGCGUGAAGUCGGAAUCGCUAGUAAUCGCGAAUCAGCAUGUCGCGGUGAAUACGUUCCCGGGCCUU